AGCGAACGCUGGCGGCAUGCCUAACACAUGCAAGUCGAACGAACCUUUCGGGGUUAGUGGCGGACGGGUGAUUAACACGUGGGAACGUGCCUUUAGGGUCUGAAUAACUCAUGGAAACUUGUGCUAAUACCGAAUGUGCCCUUCGAGGGAAAGAUUUAUCGCCUUUAGAGCGGCCCGCGUCUGAUUAGCUAGUUGGUUGAGGUAAUGGCUCACCAAGGCGACGAUCAGUAGCUGGUCUGAGAGGAUGAUCAGCCACAUUGGGACUGAGACACGGCCCAAACUCCUACGGGAGGCAGCAGUGGGGAAUAUUGCGCAAUGGGCGAAAGCCUGACGCAGCCAUGCCGCGUGAAUGAUGAAGGUCUUAGGAUUGUAAAAUUCUUUCACCGGGGACGAUAAUGACGGUACCCGGAGAAGAAGCCCCGGCUAACUUCGUG
rnacentral:rRNA from 1 species